rnacentral:sRNA from 1 species
AGCCUUCAGAGUCAGUCCUGUUAAUUAGCUGCGGAGUUAAAGGCCUCUGUGCUAAUGAACUCCUCUGAUGUCUCUUAAGCAUCCUUCUAGUUUGGCAUCACCCACUGCCAUAACCCCAGUAGCCUCACCCAUUUGCAGCAAAACAAGAGGCACCACACCCGUUUCCAAACCCCUGGAAGAUAUCGAAGCCAGACCAGGUAUGCAGUUAGAAUCGGACCUGAAGCUGGACAGGCUGGAAACCUUUCUAAGAAGGCUGAAUAACAAAGUUGGCGGGAUGCACGAAACGGUGCUCACUGUCACCGGCAAAUCUGUGAAGGAGGUGAUGAAGCCGGAUGAUGAUGAAACCUUUGCCAAAUUUUACCGCAGCGUGGAUUAUAAUAUGCCGCGAAGUCCUGUGGAGCUGGACGAGGACUUCGAUGUCAUUUUCGAUCCUUAUGCACCCAAAUUGACGUCUUCCGUGGCUGAGCACAAGCGGGCAGUUAGGCCUAAGCGCCGGGUUCAGGCCUCCAAAAACCCCCUGAAAAUGCUGGCGGCAAGAGAAGAUCUCCUUCAGGAAUACACUGAGCAGAGAUUAAACGUUGCCUUCAUGGAGUCAAAGCGGAUGAAAGUAGAGAAGA